CCUACGGGAGGCAGCAGUGAGGAAUAUUGGUCAAUGGACGAGAGUCUGAACCAGCCAAGUAGCGUGAAGGAUGACUGCCCUAUGGGUUGUAAACUUCUUUUAUAUGGGAAUAAAACGUUCCACGUGUGGGCUUUUGUAUGUACCAUAUGAAUAAGGAUCGGCUAACUCCGUGCCAGCAGCCGCGGUAAUACGGAGGAUCCGAGCGUUAUCCGGAUUUAUUGGGUUUAAAGGGAGCGUAGAUGGGUUGUUAAGUCAGUUGUGAAAGUUUGCGGCUCAACCGUAAAAUUGCAAUUGAUACUGGCAGUCUUGAGUACAGUUGAGGUAGGCGGAAUUCGUGGUGUAGCGGUGAAAUGCUUAGAUAUCACGAAGAACCCCGAUUGCGAAGGCAGCUUACUAAACUGUGACUGACAUUGAUGCUCGAAAGUGUGGGUAUCAAACAGGAUUAGAUACCCUUGUAGUC
rnacentral:rRNA from 1 species